rnacentral:rRNA from 1 species
GAUGAACGCUGGCGGCGUGCCUAAUACAUGCAAGUCGAGCGAACAGAUGAGGAGCUUGCUCCUCUGACGUUAGCGGCGGACGGGUGAGUAACACGUGGAUAACCUACCUAUAAGACUGGGAUAACUUCGGGAAACCGGAGCUAAUACCGGAUAAUAUAUUGAACCGCAUGGUUCAAUAGUGAAAGACGGUUUUGCUGUCACUUAUAGAUGGAUCCGCGCCGCAUUAGCUAGUUGGUAAGGUAACGGCUUACCAAGGCAACGAUGCGUAGCCGACCUGAGAGGGUGAUCGGCCACACUGGAACUGAGACACGGUCCAGACUCCUACGGGAGGCAGCAGUAGGGAAUCUUCCGCAAAGGGCGAAAGCCUGACGGAGCAACGCCGCGUGAGUGAUGAAGGUCUUCGGAUCGUAAAACUCUGUUGUUAGGGAAGAACAAAUGUGUAAGUAACUAUGCACGUCUUGACGGUACCUAAUCAGAAAGCCACGGCUAACUACGUG